AGGACUAACGCUGGCGGCGUGCCUAACACAUGCAAGUCGAACGAAGUAGCAAUACUUAGUGGCAGACGGGUGAGUAACACGUAGUCAACCUGCCCUUCAAUGGGGGAUAACUAGCCGAAAGGUUAGCUAAUACCGCAUACGAUCUCUGAGUGGCAUCACUCGGCGAUGAAAGGAGUAAUCCGUUGAAGGAGGGGACUGCGUCCCAUUAGUUAGUUGGUGGGGUAAUGGCCUACCAAGACUCCGAUGGGUAGCUGGCUUGAGAGAGCGACCAGCCACACUGGAACUGAGACACGGUCCAGACUCCUACGGGAGGCAGCAGUGAGGAAUUUUUCCGCAAUGGGGGAAACCCUGACGGAGCGACGCCGCGUGUGGGAAGAAGGCCUUCGGGUCGUAAACCACUGUCGAGGGGGACGAGUAUUGACGGUACCCCUGGAGGAAGCCCCGGCUAACUACGCGCCAGCAGCCGC
rnacentral:rRNA from 1 species